ACAACCCCUGAGGCCUGUCGUGGGGAUCACAGCGCGCUGGCCCCGUGGUAGGCAGUGCUGUAUUUCCACAGAGCAGUCUUGCCCCUCUGACGGCUGUCUUUGGUGGGUGACUAUGGAGCAGAGUUUGUCCAGAUCUUAGCAGGGAUGCUUCACAUUACUGAAGUUUCCGCUCUUCUGGGAGAAGCCUCCUGUGACUGGAUAUACCUAAAGACACUGUACCUUACUCCCGGUUACUCUGUGACAUCACCGUUUGAUCGUCCUCUCUGUCUCUGCUUCCACCAGACUGUGAAAUCUGUGACAGCAGGGACUGUAUCUGUGGGUCACGGCUACACCACUUGUGCCUGGAAGUUGGCAGGUGAACCAAGACUGUCAGCUGAACGAAUGGACGAUCCUGGGUUAUGAUUUAUACCUCAUUAAAUCUUCAAAAUUGGAGGCGUAAUUUUUGUAAACAGUAAAUUUACUAUGAAGGAGGUUCAGAUAAUGGAGCAGAGGGGCAGAGAACUUGGUUAAUGUUCCCCAGGUCCCAUGGCUAGAACUGGCGGGGCUGGAGUCACAGUCCACUUUGUCUCUAGUCUGUCUGCAGCCUGUCCUUUUCAGUUUCUCCAAGUUACCUGCUGAUCUGAUGAGAACCCUGUGAUGUAAGAAUACACCAGCAUUUCUUCUGCCUUUCAACAUGCUGCAUGUGGAAACCAGCAUCAACCUCUAUGUUCUUGUAAUCCAUACAUUCAAAGGAGAAGAUGACUCUUGAAGGUGGAGUACUUUGCAGCCAUCUGCACCCCUGACACUUGGGAUACGUCUUUAAGACAAAUACAGGGAGUGCUGAUUGUGGGCCACACUUGGGUUAAUCAGAGGAGUCGUCCUGGGAUAAAGAGUAUGGUUCGAGACGUGAUAAAUUGAGGGCACUGUUGGUGUUACUUUCUUAGGGGAGGUAACUAGCCCUUGUCAAUGGGAAUUAACAGAAGGCAAACUGGGAAUGAAAGAUGAAGACAAUUCAGGAAAGAAAUAAAGAGCCUGUGAAACUUUCUGUAAAAGAAACCAAUGUUUAAAAGGAAGUUUCAGUUAGUUGACAACCUUUUCAGAGUCCAUGCCCUGCAGAAUCAAUUAUACUUUCUGUUCUCCGAUUACACUGGAUACAAAUGCCUCUUACUGCACAUUGUUUAUGUGUUAAGUUCCCUGUUCUAGGGCAGGAGAGAAGACUAUGGAUAGUUACUGAAAGAGUGUAUUGCGUGUGGUGAACAUUUAAUACUGAAAGACAUGGAAAGGACGGACAACUAGAGGUCUGUCCACCCUGGGUCUUUGGAGCUCCUUAAUCCUCCGUGUCUAGUGAAGUUUCUCAUGUUUCUCACUAUGUGUAAAUAAGCGCCUUAAAAAGUCAUCAUUCCACUUAGUAAGGUAACAGCUUUGGAUGUAAUAUGCUUCUGAAAUUGCCCACAAAUUUUCUUCUAUUUUUGAUAAAGAGGUGCUAUAAAGAUUCCUUUUAAAAUACUCAUCUGUCAUUAGCAUUUGCAGGCUUCCAUUUCAAAAGGCAUUUUAAAAAUUGUUGAUGAAAUCUCUUCUCUGUAAAAAAUCUUUGCCUGGCCUAAUUUUCAAGCCUCUGUCCCAUCCUCUCAGCUUCCUGGAGCUCUGCCCUGUCAGGUCAGACAUUUCCCUGGAAUGGUUGCAGGUUUGCUGGCAUUCCUCUGAGGACAGAGAUGGAUGAGGUGUGUGGGUUUGUUAAUGUUCACUUGGUAUUUUUAGUCCAUGGUUAGCAGAAGUAGAGGCCACAGCAGAGUGGCUUUUGUUGAAUGCGAAAUUUUACAUCUCUCCCUGGAAGGUCGCUU